rnacentral:rRNA from 1 species
CCUACGGGAGGCUGCAGUAGGGAAUCUUCCACAAUGGGCGAAAGCCUGAUGGAGCAACGCCGCGUGGGUGAAGAAGGUCUUCGGAUCGUAAAACCCUGUUGUUAGAGAAGAAAGUGUGUGAGAGUAACUGUUCACGUUUCGACGGUAUCUAACCAGAAAGCCACGGCUAACUACGUGCCAGCAGCCGCGGUAAUACGUAGGUGGCAAGCGUUAUCCGGAUUUAUUGGGCGUAAAGGGAACGCAGGCGGUCUUUUAAGUCUGAUGUGAAAGCCUUCGGCUUAACCGGAGUAGUGCAUUGGAAACUGGGAGACUUGAGUGCAGAAGAGGAGAGUGGAACUCCAUGUGUAGCGGUGAAAUGCGUAGAUAUAUGGAAGAACACCAGUGGCGAAGGCGGCUCUCUGGACUGUAACUGACGCUGAGGUUCGAAAGCGUGGGUAGCAAACAGGAUUAGAUACCCCUGUAGUC